GCCUGCCGCCAUGGCUGGUGGAGGAGACCUUCACCAUAGAUGAAGUCUCUGAAGUCCUCAAUGGAUUACAAGCUGUGGUUCAUAGUGAGGUGGAAUCUGAGCUCAUCAACACUGCCUAUACCAAUGUGUUACUUCUGCGACAGCUGUUUGCACAAGCUGAGAAGUGGUAUCUUAAGCUACAGACAGACAUCUCUGAACUUGAAAACCGAGAAUUAUUAGAACAAGUUGCAGAAUUUGAAAAAGCAGAGAUUACAUCUUCAAACAAAAAGGAUUUUAUAAAGGCCCAAGACUUAAGUAACUUGGAAAACACUGUCGCUGCCUUAAAGAGUGAGUUUCAGAAGACACUUAAUGACAAGACAGAAAACCAGAAGUCACUGGAGGAGAAUCUGGCGACAGCCAAGCACGAUCUACUCAGGGUUCAGGAGGAGCUGCACAUGGCUGAAAAGGAAUUAGAAAAGAAAUUUCAGCAAACAGCAGCUUAUCGAAACAUGAAAGAGAUUCUUACCAAGAAGAAUGACCAAAUCAAAGAUCUGAGGAAAAGACUGGCACAAUAUGAACCUGAAGAUUAAAACUGAAGAUUUCAUCUGGAAGCUACCACAUGCAAA
rnacentral:sRNA from 1 species